UCAUUUGUAAAGUCCUCAAAGUGAGCAACUCUGGCCUAACCAGAAACAGCAAUUCAGUUCUAGAUGGCUUAGGGGCAGAGGAAGGCUGGCCCACUACAAGAAAACAACGGAAAAAAAAAAAGGGGUGGGGGGAUUUAUAGAGGCAAGAACGAGGCGCCGGGUAACCCAGCGGGAGAGUGAAAGGGCCCGGCGCGCUGGACGCGGGGCCAGAGGCCCAGGACGCCGUGGCUCCUCCCAAUGAGGAAGCGGGAGGCGCUCGGCCGCACUGAGGAGGCGCCCCGGGCACGCCGAGCCCCAGGCCUGUCGCAAGGAGGGUCGCGCCUGUGGAGCCUCGAGGACCGGCCGCAGGGGUCCAGGCUUCCCGCCGGCGCCGACUCCACCCCGGAGGCCUGAGUCACCGUCCGCGCGGCCCACAGGCCCCACAGGCCCCAGAGGUUACCUUCGGCAGGGAACUCCUCGAACUCGUCGUCUUCCUCCAGGAGACCCAGAUCUACCGGCUGCUUCUUCUCUGACAUGGCGACGCUCCGCGCCAAAAGCCUGUCAGGCCGAGAGGAAAGUUGGAACUCUUGACUUCUCCUCGCCUGAGCCACCAGCGCCCCGGCUGCCUCCGAGGCCGGCACUUACCAUAGAGACGCGGUAGGAGAGCAACGGGAGCAGCGCGGGGAAUGCUGGGAUGCUGGAGGUCCGCCCGGCGCUUCCUGCGGGUGUAGCAAUCCAUCAGAGGUUAGAGGUGAAGCGUUUUGUGCCUUUAUUCUUUUACCUGGACUCAAUGAGUUGGCAAAUUUGGCAUCCGGGAUCUCACAUUGGUUUCUAUGGGAACAAGAAUGGCUUUGAAGAGGAGCAUUUUAAGAACUCUUUUUACAUUCAGUGACUGCUAACUGAACUGCAAAUUCUGUUUGUUAACGUUUUUAACUCUUAAAUUUUAACACAGAAAUAAAAGUUGGGCAUUCUAGCUUCAUAAAUCAUUUUAAAUAGUAAAAACUAUUUUUAUGAAACAUCUGGCACAUUGAAACAUUAGAAAAUAAAAUAACUAGCUUUAGGAGCUAAUAAUCUGUUAAUUCAUUAGUGAUUAAUCCACACUAGCUAUGUGCUUGCUCUUGGAAAAUUGUGUAAAGAAAACAUCAUCUGAUAUAUUGUUUCAAUACAUUUUCUCUGCUAUUGAUGGGUGUAUAUAUGUUUUCUUACUUUUGUAAAAAUCCCUUUAAAAAGCAGUAUAAAAUGUUCUGCAUUUAAAGUUUCCCCCUGCCAAUGCCUCACCCAUCCUGUGCUAUUAUUUACCCUGGUACAAUGUUAUACCUUUACCGUGUUCUCACACCAGCUGGAACUUAUUUUUAGUAUUUUUUGAAACAAGCUCAUAAGUCUUCAAGUUUCAUUUUUUUCUUUUUCUUGGAAUAGAUUUUUAAAUCAUAAAAAGCCCAAGGUGUAACUUAGGUAUUACAUUUGUGCAGUUUACUAUAUUUAAUAUUUCCUCACAUUUCAUGUUUUCCCAUAAACUUUAUUUUUUUAAUUCCCUGGAGAAAUGAUAUUUCAGUAUAUUUUUAUUUAAUCCCUCUCAAAGUAAUUAAAACCCACUAAAAAUAAGAGAAGCUUAUUUCAGAAAAGAGUGCUAAAACUAAAUUUUUGUAAUGCCCAAACUAUAAAAGAUGCCGGUUGAAAGCACAUGGCAUCCCAUAACCAGCUUAUGUAAUAGCUACUCCAGUUAUUGCUGACAUAUAAUCUGUGUCUUAAAUCCAAAAAGUGCAGGUUGAUGGCAGAGUGCCAGGCAGGGUGGAAUAAGCGAGUGUUUUUUACCUUCUUGGAUUGGUGGAUUUCUGCUGUUCACAGUGUUGCCCUAGACUUGGUCAGGAUUGCUAGAGACUAGAAACAGUUUGAGAAGUCAAGCUGCUGGCAUUGUGUGACCAAGAGACUAUCCUGUAAGGUACUGACUUGGUAUAAACUCCAAUAAACUGUUUGUUUUUUUUUCUUUCAUAAAAGUAUUUUUCAUUCAGAUUUGAUUUUAUGAAAUAAAUGAGAGAUUAUUACACUUUUAAAAAAGGGAAGAUAAAUAAGUGGGAAACAUGUAACCAAAUGUUUUGGGAAAAUGAUUAAUUGAUUGACUCUUCUGUUUUUUAAAAGUUGAUUUUCAAGUGAAGCAGAAAGCAAGCUGAAAAGUAAAAGCAAGUAUUAUGUUAAUCUUCAGAAGAGAAAUAUAUAUAAAGUAUCUGAAUCUGAAAGUGAGGAAAAUAGUCGUUAGGGCUACUCAAAAUAGGAUCCAUGGAUCAGUGCCUAUCUGGGAAAAGAUAAAUACAAACAGUGACUCUUAAAGCACUUUGACAUUGCCAUUUCAUCCAAUCCUGUGAUUUUAUAUCUUACAAAAAUCAGCCCAUGGCAUUUGGGAAUUUUUAAAAUUUAGUACAGUUAGUUUGAGUUGUACUGAUUCAGCAUAAGUUAUUAUAAAUCAGAAAAAAAAAGUGCCAUUUCAACUUCAUGUUAUUGAAAAUAAUUUAUCCUAUGUGAUUCUGUCUGAAAGCUAGGAAGUGAAAGUUUUUUUUAUCUCUGAAAGAUCUCUUUCUAGUCCUAAAAUAACAUCUUUAUUUUCAUAAGAUUAUAGCAAAGGAGGCUGAAGCCGAUAUUUUCUCCUUUUGCAGAUAUAAAAACAAAAGUACCAAGGGCUUAAGUGAGAUGUCUGGUAUUACACAAUUACUAUCAAAAUUUUAAAGUCAAGGUAAGAAGAGCAUUGUACAGAACUUGUUUAAUAUUCUAAUGAAUAAAAUAAAAACAGCCUAGCUUGAUUAUGGCAGCAAAUGUGAUAUAUUUGCAAUUUCAUAUAGUAGAUGGCAGUGAUUUGUCUUAAGAUUUCAGAAGGAAAAGCAUUGUCUUACAGCCAUUCAAUGGAUUACUAGUGAAACUACACAAUACUAAAAAUCAAGGUGAGGGGUUUGAAAGAAUUCACUAAGCAAAACCAAAAUUGAAGAGAAUAAAGAAAGGUAGGAACACAUGUAUAGUUUGGCUAAAGAACUGUUAAGAGAAGAAAUAUCAGUCCACACUUCUUGAAAGAUGUAAAAUCCCAUAGGAGAAAAGGCUUGCUACCUUGGACUACAAAUAGAAAUCAAAUGAAAAUAUAAAAGGGAGAGUUUAGAGGUACACUGGGAAUUUGUGUUAGUUGCUGAGAGUAUUAAGUUAGUUGAGUGGGCGCCUAAAGGAAUCUCUGAGGACAUUUAAAACCUCAUUGAACAAAGCCGUGGACAUUGUAUUAUGGAGAGCAAGACUUCAAUGGCAAGGGGGAUGGACUGGAUCAACCAUGAGGUCUUUUCCAGCUCUAAUUUCUCGUAUUCCAUAGCUCUGUGAAGAAUAGUUGCUAAAUUGCUUGAUCAACCCAGACAAACAAAACUCACACAAGAAUAAAACCCCAGACAAAACAAUAAAGUUAGCCAAAAUUGAAACACGCCCCUCCAAAAAAGAAAAACAAAAACCCUAAAUCUUGCAUCAUAUACCAAAGACAAUAAAUUCAGAUUCUGGCAACCUGCCCAGAGAAAUGAAUUCCAGAGACAGGACCCUUCAGUGAGCAAACCCAACCAAAAGGUUGGGAGAGUUCAACUUCUCAGUUAGGCUUGCAAAAACUCCCAGCUGAUCUUAAUACUAGAGCAGGCUUAAAAAGUGAAAAGGGAAAGAAAUCUAUUAAAGAAUCUGGUCUCUGAGUGAACUAUUCAUUCAACAAGGAUUUAUGGAGUGCCUGCUAUACACCAGCCACUACUCUAAGAUAGGGUACUUCAGUGAACAAAACAGACAAGAUCUCUAUUAUUGUGAUACUCACAUUCUACUAUGAGGAGCAAUAAACAGCACAGGAUGAUAUAAGUUAAGGGGUGGUAAGUGCUAAGUAGGGUAAAAAGCAGGGGGUGGAAUCUGGGCAAGUGACUAUUUAAUAGUGCAACCAGGGAAGAACUCAAGGAGGAGAGACAUCUGAGCAAGACUGGAAGUGAAAGGAGGUAGCCAGGUGGAUUUGGGGGAAGAACAUUCAGCAUAUAGCAGGAAGGUUGGAGCAAAUCUGGUGUGUCUGAGGAAGAGGAGGGAGACUAGUGUGGUUGGAGAGGAAUGAGCAUAAGGAAAAGUAUGGAGUGAGUCAAGGAAGCCUUCUAGGUUGUCCAACUCCAUUUGAGUUAACUACCCACAUUUUGCAUCUAGGAUUCUAGAAACUAAUUUAUGCCAGGUAGCAACUUUCCUGGGAAACCACUCCACCCACAUGUCAACAGUGUUUCUGCAGAUUACUUCAGUCUAUAAGCUUUACUCAUGUCAGCAUUAUCCAGGGAUGUGGGCCCUUAGUGUAAAAAUAUGUCCUAUAGUUACUGCUACUGAGAAUGAGGAAGACUCAUCAGCAUUGAAAUUUUGGAUAUUUGCUUGCAUUUCUUCUUAGAUCGGCAAUAAAAAAUCCAAACAAAAUUGUAUUUGUGAUCUUUGUAUUAUAUUCGCACAUAUAUGAAAUAUGUCUUCUGUCACAGAAAAUAAAAUCCUGAUAUCAGCAAUUCUA